CUACGCCAUCCCCCACCCCCAGAAAAAAAAAAGACACCCUUCCUUCCCUGCUCCGAUUUCCCCCCCUCCCAACUAAGAGUGAUUGAUGGCAAUAAAUUACCAGGCAUCAGGCAGAGGCAGCCAGCGGAGCAGCGGAUCUUCCGAGCUCUCAGGAGUCCUGGGCUCGCCGCGGAGCCUUUUUCUGUCUGCGGGCAGUCCCGGAUCUCAGUAACCUGUACGCCCCAAGGACUUGGGGGCAACCCCUCCGCGAGUUUCGGAGCUGUGGAGGGGUCCGCCCACCUGACUGGCAGGUGGGGACCGUAAGGAUGCAGAAAUCCCAGAGAAGACGCAAGACGGGUGCGAAUCGCCCCCAGCAGGUCCUCACGCCUCAGACCCGAUCGGCAGCGGAGGCGGCGGCGGCAGUAGCUGAAGGAGCAACAACAGCACACAGCUACUUUAGGAAACCACCCACCUUCAAGCAGCUGAGGAGCUAAAAAGAGAUUGGAGAUCCCCUGCAUUACACAGAAGCAGAUUGAAAGGGCAAAAUGGAAAAGAAGGGGAAAAUCAGAAAAGGAGCUUUUGUGUUGUGUUGUGUAUGUGUGUGUGUGUGUGUGUGUGUAGGUGUAUAUGUAUGUAUAUAUAUGUAUAUCUGCAUAUCUGCAUGAGAGGUUGUAAGUGCUUCUUAUUUGGGUAAAUGGUUGAGGGCUUUUGUAUGGACAAGAGAAGAAAGUGUGAAGGCAUAUAAAUGACUGUAGUUUUGCCAUAGCUUUUCAAAAUUUGAAUUACUAUUACACUAAAGUCUUUUGACUUUAAAAUCUGCCCCCUCUCAUCCUCACAAUCAAAUUUCUGGUUCUUUUAAGUCCUGGUUGUGAAAUUGUAUUCUUAGACCCACCAUUACAACACAGGAAGGUCAAUAUUCAACCAAAUGGUGGCCCCAAUAUUAGCAAAGGCUCUUCUGGAAGGAAAGGCCCUUCACUUAUAAAGAGGCAUUUACUUAUCUCACUCCCUUUACUAUCCUUACUGUAGAUCUGCUAAGGCAAUGGCUUCCAACAUUUAUGGAGCAAUUUUCUUCUUUUGUAAAAAUAAGAGUGAUUUUUAUCUCUAUCUAUAUAUAAUCCCUAUUAUAAUAAAUCUCUACAAAUAAUAUUUUAGCCUGUAUUU
rnacentral:lncRNA from 1 species